rnacentral:lncRNA from 1 species
UCGAGAAAAAAAAAAUAUAUGUACUGAUGGGAAAAUUCUUGAUUACUUACCUAUAUUGUAACUGAAAACUAUAUUUAGAUACUCAUUUGGUUUACUCCAUUUCAUCAUCUUGAAAUGUUUUCAUAGGAUUCGACAGAGUUUUAUCUGAUGUUUUGAAUAAGCUUUUCUGUUUUCCUUCUCAUAGAAAGAGAUAUGAUUCUGAAGAAAAAAGACGCCCUGAUCUCGACCAGCUAUUCUAUCCUCAAGUUUCAACUGGUUAAUCCGAGCAAAAACCAGAUUUCAUAGCUUUUUGGUUGCUCAAUGGGAAAGAAAAUCAAUUGGUUUACUUGUGUGAAAAGACUUUUCAUCCCUGAAUCUAAACCAAAAGCUGAAAAGGUACAUUAAUUGGUUUUCGA